CUCUCCUUAGCUCAGUUGGAAGAGCGUGAGACUGUAAUGGUGGAUACAAUGUACGAUUGUAAUCUCAAGGUCCCUGGUUCGAACCCGGGAGGGGAGA
rfam:Baudoinia panamericana TAMH 10762 unplaced genomic scaffold BATCOscaffold_2, whole genome shotgun sequence.